AAGUCGUAACAAGGUUUCCGUAGGUGAACCUGCGGAAGGAUCAUUACCGAGUUAGGGUCUCCUCCGUGAGGCCCGACCUCCCAACCCCGUGUCUAAUAAACCUGUUUGUGUUGCUUCGGCGGAACGGCAGUCGUCUCCUCCGGGAGGCAACCGUCGCCGGGGGAUUCCACGGUCUCCACCGACCGCCCCUGGAGAGCGUCCGCCGAUGGCCCCAACCAAAACAAAUUACCAAACCCAAACCAUGGAACUAUAAUUUUCUGAAUCAGAUUUUGAUAUACCAAUCAAAAACAAAACUUUCAACAACGGAUCUCUUGGUUCUG
rnacentral:misc_RNA from 1 species